UCUCCGUUGGUGAACCAGCGGAGGGAUCAUUACAGAGUUGCAAAACUCCCAAACCAUUGUGAACGUUACCUAUCCCGUUGCUUCGGCGGGCGGCCCGGGCCCCGCGCCCGGCGCCCCCCGGCCCCCCGUGGGCGCCCACCGGAGGUAAACCAAACCCUUGAAUUGCAUGGCCUCUCUGAGUCUUCUGUACUGAAUAGGUCAAAACUUUCAACAACGGAUCUCUUGGUUCUG
rnacentral:misc_RNA from 1 species